ACAACAUUUGGACCAUCGGUCUACCGAACAAAUAUCAUCCGCUCGGUGGAAGAUCUUCCUUUCGUCGU
rnacentral:pre_miRNA from 1 species